rnacentral:tRNA from 1 species
UAUUUAUUAGUUUAUAAAAAACAUUACAAUUUCAUCGUAAUAAAAAUAACUAAAUUAUUAUAAAUAA